rnacentral:rRNA from 1 species
AUUGAACGCUGGCGGCAUGCCUUACACAUGCAAGUCGAACGGCAGCACGGGUGCUUGCACCUGGUGGCGAGUGGCGAACGGGUGAGUAAUACAUCGGAACGUACCUUAUCGUGGGGGAUAACGCAGCGAAAGCUGUGCUAAUACCGCAUACGCCCUGAGGGGGAAAGCGGGGGAUCGCAAGACCUCGCGCGAUUAGAGCGGCCGAUGCCUGAUUAGCCAGUUGGUGGGGUAAAAGCCCACCAAGGCGACGACCAGUAGCUGGUCUGAGAGGACGAUCAGCCACACUGGGACUGAGACACGGCCCAGACUCCUACGGGAGGCAGCAGUGGGGAAUUUUGGACAAUGGGGGCAACCCUGAUCCAGCAAUGCCGCGUGAGUGAAGAAGGCCUUCGGGUUGUAAAGCUCUUUUGUCAGGGAAGAAACACCGGCUCUAACACAGUCCGGGAAUGACGGUACCUGAAGAAUAAGCACCGGCUAACUACGUGCCAGCAGCCGCCGUAA